CCCUUAGAUGUCCUGGGCCGCACGCGCGCUACACUGAUGCAUUCAACGAGUUUUACCUUGGCCGAGAGGCCUGGGCAAUCUUUUAAACCUGCAUCGUGAUAGGGAUAGAUUAUUGCAAUUAUUAAUCUUGAACGAGGAAUUCCUAGUAAACGCAAAUCAUCAAUUUGCAUUGAUUACGUCCCUGCCCUUUGUACACACCGCCCGUCGCACCUACCGAUUGAAUGGUCCGGUGAAGCCUCGGGAUUGUGGCCAGUUCACUUUAUUGGGAGUUGGCUGUGAGAACUUGUCUAAACCUUAUCAUUUAGAGGAAGGUGAANUCGUANCA
rnacentral:rRNA from 1 species